rfam:Oleispira antarctica strain RB-8, complete genome sequence.
CUGAAAGUUUAGCAAUGAACUUUGAUCGCAUUGCAGAAGUCAGCAAACGGCAUAGUAGGUUAACUCUUUAACUGAAGGCC